rnacentral:lncRNA from 1 species
AAAUAAAUAAGUAAAAAAAAAAAAUCGCCUUAAUGACAUUCUAUAGACUUGACGUGUCACUAUGGCGUCACUAACGUCACCAUAACAUCAACAGAAGAAGAGUGCGCGCGUGGCUGGAUGACUAACAGCUUCGGCGUAAAGGUCUGUUGCCUUGACGACACUCGAGGUAAAGGAGGUAGAAAGAGGAGACGACACGGAGGAUGUGAGGAGGAGGAGGAGGAGGAGGAGGACGGGGUGUCUGUCACUGAAUCUUGGCGGUUCAUUAGUGGAGGAAUCAGGUAAAUUAAAACAGGCAAAAACCGGAUUCAUGACCACUACAGAACUUUGAGCAGUGGUAGCAUAACGGCUAAGACUGCUAAUGCUAAUAUUGCUAAUCAGUUUCACCACCUUUAGCUUGCUGCAGCAGCCUACCACCGAAAUAUACUACCACUACACUAAUCCAACGACUAAUACCCCAUUAGUAUUUCAUUGUCUCUUAUCUAUGAUUGAGAUAUUGCUCAAGAGUUUUGACAAAGUUACUGGGCAUGUGCCCAGCAAAGUAAACAACAGUAUGCAAUUUAGAAAUUACAUUUAAAAGGUAUGAAGAAAGUACGAGGCUACUGAUAUCCCUUGCUUAAAGACAGGCUACUCAACUUACUAACAGUAUAACUUUAGCACAUAGCCAUAGACUGUAUAUAAAAUGGAGAAUGUCUGUCUCCUCACUGGGUGAAGCCACUCCGAGAACAGCACCCUCUGUUGACGGGCUGCAGUAUAGGUCACAAAUCCCGCCUCAGCCAGCAGUUCCUAUGGAGCUGUGGACAAUGUUUAGAAAUUUAUUACACAGAAUAUAAUUUUUUCUCCCCCCUGCUUGUGAUGUUAACAUGUAGUUAUUGUAAGACUGGUUUGUGCUCAAGUCCUCUUUUUCUGUACAGCUCCAUUUUAAAAGUUAUUAGGGGUUCAUGUUUUCUAUGAUUGACACUUGAAACAGCCUAUGGGCGUUCAGGGAUUGUGUAGCUCACCCGGGGGAUAUGCUGUUUGAGCCGAGCGUCAUCACAGCAACUCUCGGCGACUCUCCCGAGUCGCACAAUGCUACUGCGCAAGUGGUGGAGAGUGUACAACCAGUGGCGGUUCUAGACCAAAUUACUCCCCGGGCGAGCACACACCCCCCCCCCCCCCACACACACACACACACACACACACACACACACACACACACACACACACACAAACAAACAAACAAACACAAAAAGAGAUAGAAUUUUGAACAGAUAGUUUUGUAUUAUUAUCUAGUAUUAUUAUGAUUAGAACAACAAAAAUAAAAUAUUUCUCAAUUGCAGAAAUCCUUCAAUAGAAAAAAACACAAUCCUGAGGGCCAUUUUGAGAAGGUCUCCCAGAUCCUGAGGUUUUCUGACGUGUUAAGGUUUACAAAAAAGCUGUUAUCUCGGCCUCUGUAGUAGAUAGAAACAAAAUUCAAAAAGUAUUUGAGAGCUUAUACACGUGGCUUUCAAGAAAGCUCUCUUUUAGUUUUGCAGACCUUCAUCACAUUUUUUAAACCUUGAACAAACAAACUUAAAUGAAAUAAAGCGGCUGCAUAAAUAAAAGUAAAGGCUCUGCACUGGAGAAUGACAAAUAAUUUGUUUUCUGUAAAACAAGUGUCAGUCAUGAUAAAGUGUCCAUUCAAUACAAAUGUAAAUAUAGAAAAUAAGGUGUUGAAAGGGUAUACAGCUGCCCCAGUAUACUGCCAGUACAAAAGCAGAACUAAAAACUAAAAAAUGAAUAAAUAAAUACGUGGCUGACAGUGUGUUCAUCUCUGUUCUCACCCAAAGUCAUGCAACACUCAGAGAAAACGCUGAUAGUGUGAGCCAAAGCACUCCCUAUGAAGAGGUUGUUCACACUGCUGGAUGUUUCUCCUCUGAAGCUGCUCUCUGCCUCAGUCAUUGUUUACUUUACUCAUGAAGCUCAUCAAGCACGUAGCAAGAUCCGAGCAUGAACCCGAGCGCUUUAUUCGCCUAUCGAAGGCAGACGGGUACGGUGAUUUGAUUCACCACGACUCUAGAAAUGAUUAAAAAACUACAAAAUGACGUCUCCGCGCUCCUGGCAGAGUAGAAAUGCGCAGCCGCGCUCCCGCUGAUACGCUGACAUGCGUACACAGAGCAGAGCUGUCCCCCCGCGACCCUCUCCCCGCCUCGUCUCACACAGUCUGUCAGCCUCUGUGCAGCACCUUCGGCGCAAGCAGGGGCGCUUACAGCAGCGGGGGGCGCCAAUUUGACAACAAGAGUUAAUACAAAACCGCUUUGCGGUUAAGAUUUAUCAUUAUUAUCUUUUAUUUUAUUUUUUUGGAAGUGCUCGUGCCGCCCCCCAUGAGUCAUGACACAAAUGCCGCCCCGGGCGGCUGCCCUGUUCGCCCGUGCCUAGAACCGCUACUGUGUACAACAAUACUGCGCAAUGUUGGUUUCAGGAAAUGGAGAGAAAACGCAGAAUUGACUUUGUAUAAAAAGGGCAUUCCAGAGCGGCUGAGUCUCUCAGAGAGGCUGGUUGCCUCUCUGGUCUCUCUGUGGUCUCUCUGUGAGAGACUGCAUGAGCAAAUAGUUCAACAAUUUCAGAAAAAUACUCCUCAGUGUAAUACCACAAAGACUUUGUGGAUUUCAGGCAGUAAAAUGUUAUAACAGAUGGAGACAAUCUCAAGGAACCUCUGUAAAAAUAGGGAACAAGGUUAAAACCAAUACUGGCUGGAAACCACUGGUUUGAAAACGGCCUUGCUCUGCAGUGAAAAUUGCUGAAUGGGCUUAAAAUCACUUCCAAAAACCAUUGUUUUGUGAUCACAGUUUGUCACUGCAUCCACAAAAGCAGGUUAAAACCACGUCACACAAAAUGAAAACUGGUUACAAACAUUUGAUAUGCUCUCUUUGCACUUAAAUAGGAUCAAUCGAGGAGCGACCCUAAAUAGGAUUUCUUGAUUUGCAAAUCAAGAAAUUAUAUUUUCAUUUACAUUUUACACAACAAUCAUUGAAAAAUAAUGAUGGUACUGAUUAUUUUAUUCUAAUGCACACCAUAUAUGUUAUCCCUCUGAACUGUCUUUUUUUUUCUAUAACAGAGGAGGUAUUGGUGCCAGCUCCUUACUAAGUCCCUAGAGGGCACUGUAGCCUCAGUCUUACUCCACAUCUGAUCAAAAGAGUUCAGCCUCAAGCAGCAGCUGCAUCAGAGGUGUCCAACCUGUGGUCUGUGGCUCAGGUGGGUUAUUUUGGGGUCUGGGACACGGAUGGUGAGGGGCAACAUGAAGAGAUAGAGGGUUAUAGGGGUGCUUGUCUCUAUAUUUAGACAAUUUAGAGCAGAGGUGCGUAUUCGAAAUAUUGAUUUGAGUUGUUCAGAAAUCAUGCAGAUAGGGGGCUUGUGUUUUGCAGGAUUUCUUGUGUGUGUGUUUGUGUGUGUCUGUCUGUAUGUGUGUGUUUGUGUGUGUGUGUGUGU